UGGACUGCUGUGUCACAUGGUGGAGUGGGAGAGGGGUUUAGACAGUGGACUGCUGUGUCACAUGGUGGAGUGGGAGAGGGGUUUAGACAGUGGACUGCUGUGUCACAUGGUGGAGUGGGAGAGGGGUUUAGACAGUGGACUGCUGUGUCACAUGGUGGAGUGGGAGAGGGGUUUAGACAGUGGACUGCUGUGUCACAUGGUGGAGUGGGAGAGGGGUUUAGACAGUGGACUGCUGUGUCACAUGGUGGAGUGGGAGAGGGGUUUAGACAGUGGACUGCUGUGUCACAUGGUGGAGUGGGAGAGGGGUUUAGACAGUGGACUGCUGUGUCACAUGGUGGAGUGGGAGAGGGGUUUAGACAGUGGACUGCUGUGUCACAUGGUGGAGUGGGAGAGGGGUUUAGACAGUGGACUGCUGUGUCACAUGGUGGAGUGGGAGAGGGGUUUAGACAGUGGACUGCUGUGUCACAUGGUGGAGUGGGAGAGGGGUUUAGACAGUGGACUGCUGUGUCACAUGGUGGAGUGGGAGAGGGGUUUAGACAGUGGACUGCUGUGUCACAUGGUGGAGUGGGAGAGGGGUUUAGACAGUGGACUGCUGUGUCACAUGGUGGAGUGGGAGAGGGGUUUAGACAGUGGACUGCUGUGUCACAUGGUGGAGUGGGAGAGGGGUUUAGACAGUGGUGUAAAGUACUUCAGUAAAAAUACUUGAAAGUACUAAAGUCGUUUUUGGGGGUAUCUGUACUGUACUAUUUAUAGUUUUGACUUGGACUACUUUUACUUCACUAUAUUCCUAAAGAAAAUACUGUACUUUUUACUCCGUACAUUUUCCUUGACACCCAAAAGUAGUCAUUACACUUUGAAUGCUUAGCAGGACAGGAAAAUGGUCCAAUUCACACACUUAUCAAGAGAACAUCCCUACUGCCUCUGAUCUGGUUGACUCACUAAGCGCAUGCUUGGUUGGUAAAUGAUGUCUGAGCAUGCCCCUGGCUAUGCAUCAGUUUAAAUAAACUAGAAAAUGCUGCAGCCUGUUUUGCUUUAUAAGGAAUUUGAAAAGAUGUAUACUUUAACUUUUGAUACGUAAGUAUAUUUUAGCAAUUACAUUUACUUUUGUUACUCAAGUAAUAUUUUACUGGCUGACUUUAAAUUAUACUUGAGUCAUUUUCUAUUAAGGUAUCUCUCUUUUACAACCCUUGGGUUAAGACUGUAUUCUCUUGUAUCAAACAGAGCAGAUCCCUUGGCUUUAAUGUCAUGGUAUGGGUCACAAGGGUUACUGCCAAAGAUACCGUAAGCUACCUUGGAUGGAAGUUAGAUAGUCACCCAUCUGUACCACAUCCAUACUGUAAUGCAAUUGUUUUAUGCAUUAAAGAAAAAAACCUCA